AUGCCGUAGACCCGAAACCGGGUGACCUAUCCAUGGCCAGGUUGAAGCGAGGGUAAAACCUCGUGGAGGACCGAACCACGUUGCUGUUGAAAAAGCAUGGGAUGAGCUGUGGAUAGCGGAGAAAUUCCAAUCGAACCCGGAGAUAGCUGGUUCUCUCCGAAAUAGCUUUAGGGCUAGCGUCGAGUAUGAGUAGUGGAGGUAGAGCACUGAAUGGGCUAGGGGGCAUAGCGCUUACCGAACCUUAUCAAACUCCGAAUGCCACAUACUUUGAGCUCGGCAGUCAGACUACGAAUGAUAAGAUCCGUGGUCAAAAGGGAAACAGCCCAGAUCGUCAGCUAAGGUCCCAAAGUGUAAGUUAAGUGGGAAAGGAUGUGAGAUUUCUAAGACAACUAGGAUGUUGGCUUAGAAGCAGCCAUUCAUUAAAAGAGUGCGUAAUAGCUCACUAGUCGAGAGAUCUUGCGCCGAAAAUGUAACGGGGCUAAACUUACCACCGAAGCUACGGGCUUGAACUUAGUUCAAGCGGUAGGAGAGCGUCGUAACCGGGCUGAAGUCGUACCGUAAGGAGCGGUGGACUGGUUACGAGUGAGAAUGUUGGCAUCAGUAGCGAGAUGUGGGUGAGAAUCCCACAGGCCGAAAACCUAAGGUUUCCUCAGGAAGGUUCGUCCGCUGAGGGUUAGUCGGGACCUAAGCCGAGGCCGAAAGGCGUAGGUGAUGGACAACUGGUUGAUAUUCCAGUACCACUACCAUCGUUAUUAUCGAUGGCGUGACGCAGGAGGAUAGUGUGUGCUAGCUAUUGGAUGCUAGUCUAAGCGUUUAGGCAGUGAGAGUAGGCAAAUCCGCUCUCAUAAUGCUGAGGCGUGAUGGGGAAGGUUCCACGGAACCGAAGUACAUGAUUCCACGCUGCCAAGAAAAGCGUCUAGAGAGAGAAGUAGUGCCCGUACCGCAAACCGACACAGGUAGGUGAGGAGAGAAUCCUAAGGCCGGCGGAAGAAUUACAGUUAAGGAACUCGGCAAAUUGACCCCGUAAGUUCGCGAGAAGGGGUGCCUACGAGAGUAGGCCGCAGAGAAUAGGCCCAAGCAACUGUUUAGCAAAAACACAGGUCUCUGCUAAAGCGUAAGCUGAUGUAUAGGGGCUGACGCCUGCCCGGUGCUGGAAGGUUAAGGGGAACACUUAGCGCAAGCGAAGGUGUGAACUUAAGCCCCAGUAAACGGCGGCCGUAACUAUAACGGUCCUAAGGUAGCGAAAUUCCUUGUCAGGUAAGUUCUGACCCGCACGAAUGGCGUAAUGACUUGGGCACUGUCUCAACUGUAAAUCCGGCGAAGUUGUAGUGCGAGUGAAGAUGCUCGCUACCCGCGAUUGGACGGAAAGACCCCGUAGAGCUUUACUGUAGCUUAGCAUUGAGUUUUGGUAUUGUCUGUACAGGAUAGGUGGGAGACUAGGAAACCAGGGCGUCAGCCUUGGUGGAGUCAACCUUGGGAUACCACCCUGACAGUACUGAAAUUCUAACUGGCGGCCAUGAAUCUGGUCACAGGACAUUGUUAGGUGGGCAGUUUGACUGGGGCGGUCGCCUCCUAAAAAGUAACGGAGGCGCCCAAAGGUUCCCUCAGAACGGUCGGAAAUCGUUCGAAGAGUGCAAAGGCAGAAGGGAGCCUGACUGCGACACCCACAAGUGGAGCAGGGACGAAAGUCGGGCUUAGUGAUCCGGUGGUACCUCGUGGGAGGGCCAUCGCUCAACGGAUAAAAGCUACCUCGGGGAUAACAGGCUGAUCUCCCCCAAGAGUCCACAUCGACGGGGAGGUUUGGCACCUCGAUGUCGGCUCG
rnacentral:rRNA from 1 species